GACGAACGCUGGCGGCGUGCUUAACACAUGCAAGUCGAACGGAAAGGCCCUGCUUGCAGGGUACUCGAGUGGCGAACGGGUGAGUAACACGUGGGUGAUCUGCCCUGCACUUCGGGAUAAGCCUGGGAAACUGGGUCUAAUACCGGAUAGGAGCCAUUUUUAGUGUGAUGGUUGGAAAGUUUUUUCGGUGUAGGAUGAGCUCGCGGCCUAUCAGCUUGUUGGUGGGGUAAUGGCCUACCAAGGCGGCGACGGGUAGCCGGCCUGAGAGGGUGGACGGCCACAUUGGGACUGAGAUACGGCCCAGACUCCUACGGGAGGCAGCAGUGGGGAAUAUUGCACAUUGGGCGCAAGCCUGAUGCAGCGACGCCGCGUGGGGGAUGACGGCCUUCGGGUUGUAAACUCCUUUCGCUAGGGACGAAGCUUUUUGUGACGGUACCUAGAUAAGAAGCACCGGCUAACUACGU
rnacentral:rRNA from 1 species